UUAAUCUCCAACUUGACAACUGCUGGCGUGAAAACAAAAACAAAUAUGUUUUAACUUUAUUAUCUCUUUUGGUGGAAUGGUCGGUGUUUGACAAGAUAAAGGGCAACUUUCUACCAUUUGGCCAUACGCAUGAAGACAUUGAUGCAUUAUUUGGCUGUUUUUCAAAGCAUCUUAAAUUUCUUGAUGUAUAUACAGUAAAUGAUAUAAGAAAAGCAUUUGAAGAAUGCUGUAACAAGCCAUACCCAGAAUCUGAGUGUUUAUCAUGCAUUUAU